CUUUGGUGGGCUUUUUGGGAGGAGAAUAGAAGAGGAAGGAUGUGCUGGAUGCGCCCUGGUCGACCACUGUGAUCUUACUGUUAGAGUAAAGAGAAGUUCCUCAGCCUGAGGUGGAAGAUGUUUUCAGGAGCUGCAAGACCAUUGGGCAAAACUUUCUUAUAUUUUAUAAUUAUCCUUUUUGAAGUAGUUGUAAAGAUACAGCAAGCCAUGAAACAAAGAAAAGGAAGAUCAGAGGGAUCUUGGGGUCUGAGCCCAUAGGAUGCUCAAAGCAGCUGCGCAGGUUGACACUGCGGCUGGUCUUUAUUGCCACAAGGAACCCUUCUGUUUCUGGGAAGAGUUCUCCAAAUCUGAGCGAGCCUGGCAUUCAACACUUCCUUGUCAACAUCUAAUCUGCUCAGGUCAUUGGGAUGUCGUCCAUGGAGGGUCAAGCUCUUCUAUUGGUUAAUGUUUUCUUCAAUAGUGAUAAUUUCUUCAUUUUUCUGGGUUGUGCUUUAAUUUAAGUUUACUUCUUAUCAGACUUACAUAUGCUCAAUUGGAGUGCUGAAUCCUGUUUUUGUUGAUGAAAAUAUAUCCUUAGAAGCUUUAUUUGACUGCUGUGUAAAUUUUUUAAUGUCUAUUAUUCCUUUUCCUCCUUCUGUCCUAAGUAGUGUUAAUCUAAGUGUG